UACGUAGGGUGCGAGCGUUAAUCGGAAUUACUGGGCGUAAAGUGUGCGCAGGCGGCCGCGCAAGUCGAGUGUGAAAGCCCCGGGCUUAACUUGGGAAUUGCGCUCGAAACUACGUGGCUGGAGUGUGGCAGAGGAAGGUGGAAUUCCAAGUGUAGCGGUGAAAUGCGUAGAGAUCUGGAGGAACACCGAUGGCGAAGGCAGCCUUCUGGGCCAACACUGACGCUCAUGCACGAAAGCGUGGGGAGCAAACAGG
rnacentral:rRNA from 1 species